rnacentral:rRNA from 1 species
ACUCAAAUGAAUAGACGGGGGCCCGCACAAGCGGUGGAGCAUGUGGUUUAAUACGUCACUAACCGUAGAACCUUACCGGGGCUUGACAUGGAUCGCACCAGGGUGAAAGCCCUGUCCUCGCAAGAGGCGGUCACACAGGUGUUGCAUGGCUGUCGUCAGCUCGUGUCGUGAGAUGUUGGGUUAAGUCCCGCAACGAGCGCAACCCUCACCCCCUGUUGCCAGCGGAUGAUGCCGGGGACUCUGGGGGAACUGCCCGCGCAAGCGGGAGGAAGGCGGGGACGACGUCAAGUCAGCAUGGCCCUUACGCCCCGGGCUACACACAUGCUACAAUGGGCGGCAGACAGAGGGAACCGAGACCGCGAGGUGGAGGCAACCCCACAAAUCCGCCCCCAGUUCGGAUCGGAGGCUGCAACCCGCCUCCGUGAAGCCGGAAUCGCUAGUAACCGCAGGUCAGCGAAACUGCGGUGAAUACGUUCCCGGGCCUUGCACACACCGCCCGU